UACGUAGGGGGCAAGCGUUAUCCGGAUUUACUGGGUGUAAAGGGGGCGCAGACGGCGAUGCAAGCCAGGAGUGAAAGCCCGGGGCCCAACCCCGGGACUGCUCUUGGAACUGCGUGGCUGGAGUGCAGGAGGGGCAGGCGGAAUUCCUGGUGUAGCGGUGAAAUGCGUAGAUAUCAGGAGGAACACCGGUGGCGAAGGCGGCCUGCUGGACUGCAAUUGACGUUGAGGCCCGAAAGCGUGGGGAGCAAACAGG
rnacentral:rRNA from 1 species